rnacentral:rRNA from 1 species
GGCGGUGUCUUUACGUUGCGGGCCACACCUGUUCCCAUUCCGAACACAGCCGUUAAGCCGCAGCGGCCGAUGGUACUGCAUAUGCGGGAGAGUAGGUCAACGCCGCCU